rnacentral:misc_RNA from 1 species
GGGGGUUCUUCAUUGAGACCUGUACAUGGUAACGCACAUCAUCAAAUUCCACCCAGUUGUAAUCCACUUCCACUGCUUUUUCAAGAUUGUGCACCCGAUUUAACAAAGUUUGGAGCAGAAAUCUGGAGUGGGACUGCAAUAGUAUCAUCGAUUGUAGUUUUUUGGUGACUCUCCCUGCAACUGAGUCUUACAGAUGUAGAAUUGCCAAACCGAAGACGGGAAUGGAAUCUCACAACGUCGUGUGGCUGAAGAUUUGUCCUCUCCAGUCUCAAGGCCAAACUAUGCCCAAAUGCGACCGGCCCUUCUCCAGAACUCACGCUUCAAAUUUCUAUGCAUCACAUAUACCGUGA